UACAGAGGUCUCAAGCGUUGUUCGGAUUCAUUGGGCGUAAAGGGUGCGCAGGCUGUGGGGUAAGUCGGAUGUGAAAUUUAGGGGCUCAACCUCUAAACUGCAUUCGAUACUCCCCCGCUAGAGGACUGUAGAGGAGAUUGGAAUUCACGGUGUAGCAGUGAAAUGCGUAGAUAUCGUGAGGAAGACCAGUGGCGAAGGCGAAUCUCUGGGCAGUUCCUGACGCUCAUGCACGAAGGCCAGGGGAGCAAACGGG
rnacentral:rRNA from 1 species